CUACGGGGGGCUGCAGUGGGGAAUAUUGCACAAUGGGCGCAAGCCUGAUGCAGUCAUGCCGCGUGUAUGAAGAAGGCCUUCGGGUUGUAAAGUACUUUCAGCGAGGAGGAAGGGAGUAAAGUUAAUACCUUUGCUCAUUGACGUUACCCGCAGAAGAAGCACCGGCUAACUCCGUGCCAACAGCCGCGGUAAUACGGAGGGUGCAAGCGUUAAUCGGAAUUACUGGGCGUAAAGCGCACGCAGGCGGUUUGUUAAGUCAGAUGUGAAAUCCCCGGGCUCAACCUGGGAACUGCAUCUGAUACUGGCAAGCUUGAGUCUCGUAGAGGGGGGUAGAAUUCCAGGUGUAGCGGUGAAAUGCGUAGAGAUCUGGAGGAAUACCGGUGGCGAAGGCGGCCCCCUGGACGAAGACUGACGCUCAGGUGCGAAAGCGUGGGGAGCAAACAGGAUUAGAUACCCUCGUAGUC
rnacentral:rRNA from 1 species